rnacentral:rRNA from 1 species
AUUGAACGCUGGCGGCAGGCCUAACACAUGCAAGUCGAACGGAGUGGCGGACGGGUGAGUCAUGUCUGGGAAACUGCCUGAUGGAGGGGGAUAACUACUGGAACCGGUAGCUAAUACCGCAUACUAUCAGAUGAGCCUAGGUCGGAUUAGCUAGUUGGGGGGGUAAAGGCCUACCAAGGCGACGAUCCGUAACUGGUCUGAGAGGAUGAUCAGUCACACGGGAACUGAGAAACGGUCCAGACGCCUACGGGAGGCAGCAGUGGGGAAUAUUGGACAAUGGGCGAAAGCCUGAUCCAGCCAUGCCGCGUGUGUGAAGAAGGUCUUCGGAUUGUAAAGCACUUUAAGUUGGGAGGCGGUACCAACAGAAUAAGCACCGGCUAACUUCGUGCCAGCAGCCGCGGUAAUAC